rnacentral:snRNA from 1 species
AUACUUACCGGGCCAGGGAGAUGCCAUGAACACAAAGGUGUUUUCCCAGGGUGAAGUUAUUCAUCGCACUCCGGAUGUGCUGACCCCUGCGAUUUCCCCGAAUUCGAAAAACUCGAUGGCAUAAUUAGUGGUAGUGGGAGACUGUGUUCACACUCUCUUCUU